rnacentral:rRNA from 1 species
UGUGCUAAUACCGGAUAAGUCUUUACGGAGAAAGCUUUAUGCACCAUUGGAUGAGCCUGCACUUGAUUAGUUUGUUGGUGGGGUAAUGGCCUACCAAGACUGUGAUCAAUAGCUGAUUUGAGAGGAUGAUCAGCCACAUUGGGACUGAGACACGGCCCAAACUCCUACGGGAGGCAGCAGUGGGGAAUCUUGCACAAUGGAGGAAACUCUGAUGCAGCGAUGCCGCGUGAGUGAAGAAGGCCCUUGGGUUGUAAAGCUCUUUCGUCG